rnacentral:ncRNA from 1 species
GUGCAUAUCUAUUCUAUAGGAUAUAUGAGUGAGGAUCCUCGAGGUUACGUUGAGGGAAAACGUUUCUGUGGGGAUAAACUGUCAAAUUCCGGGGAACUCCUAAAGCUUAAGGUACCAAACUGUAGUUGAAAAAUUAUAUGUGGCUGAAGUAAUUACUCAGAUAAGGUAACAACCCUUAAGAUUUGUGAAAACAAAAUGGACAAUCGCGGAUCUAAAUCAACAAUAUUAAACAAUAAGGUUGUAAAAGAGCAAAGAGUAGACGGCAGUUGAUCGGUUAAGUCAAGUUUAACUGAUUUAAGGUGUAUUCUAAAUAGUUUUGAAAUAAACAG